GACGUAGGGCGCGAGCGUUGUCCGGAUUUAUUGGGCGUAAAGAGCUCGUAGGCGGCUUGUUGCGUCGACUGUGAAAACCUGCGGCUCAACCGUGUGGUCUGCAGUCGAUACGGGCAGGCUGGAGUUCGGUAGGGGAGAUCGGAAUUCCUGGAUGUAGCGGUGGAAAUGACGCAGAUAUCAGGAGGAACACCGGUGGCGAAGGCGGAUCUCUGGGCCUUACCUGACGCUGAGGCGCGAAAGCUAGGGGAGCGAACAGG
rnacentral:rRNA from 1 species